rnacentral:rRNA from 1 species
CUACGGGCGGCAGCAGUGGGGAAUAUUGCACAAUGGGGGAAACCCUGAUGCAGCAACGCCGCGUGGAGGAUGACACAUUUCGGUGCGUAAACUCCUUUUAUAGGUCAAGAUAAUGACGGUAGCCUAUGAAUAAGCGCCGGCUAACUCCGUGCCAGCAGCCGCGGUAAUACGGAGGGCGCAAGCGUUACUCGGAAUCACUGGGCGUAAAGAGCAUGUAGGCGGGUUAAUGAGUCAGAAGUGAAAUCCAAUAGCUCAACUAUUGAACUGCUUUUGAAACUGUUAACCUGGAGUGUGGGAGAGGUAGAUGGAAUUUCUGGUGUAGGGGUAAAAUCCGUAGAGAUCAGAAGGAAUACCGAUUGCAAAGGCGAUCUACUGGAACAUUACUGACGCUGAGAUGCGAAAGCGUGGGGAGCAAACAGGAUUAGAUACCCCGGUAGUC